AUCACCAUCACCAUCAUCACCAUCACCACCAUCAUCAUCAUCAUCAUCACCAUCACCACCAUCACCAUCACCUUCCUUUCCUGAGAGAGAUCCAGGGCACAGAGCGUUUUGGAAUCUUGCCAAUGACCAGCAGCCAUCUCUCAGCAUCCUUGGAGGAUCAGUUCCAGUUCACUCUGAGAUACCCAGUCCCCGGGUCCUGGGGAUCCUUGCGUGAAACGGCGCACUGCGGCACACUGUGGCACACUGUGGCACACUGCGGCACACUGCGGCACACUGCGGAGCACUGCGGCACACUGCGGAGCACUGCGGCACACUGCGGCACACUGCGGAGCACUGCGGCGCACUGCGGCACACUGGCGCACUGCGGCACACUGCGGCGCACUGCGGAGCACUGCGGCACACUGCUUGCCUGUGACCUAUGCCCAUCUCCAGAUUAGUGCCCUCUGGUUCGAAUGCUGAGCAAAUGGCCACCGUACCACAUUGUCGAGGGGAUAAAGACAAGGUGGGGAAAACCUGUCCAAGUUUAGCCCUCACACGUUUUCCUCCAAGCAUUUUUGAGCCACUGCUGAUUGAGUCUUAGGUCUCCGAGGCCACAGACAGUCGCGG
rnacentral:lncRNA from 1 species